rnacentral:sRNA from 1 species
UUAAUUAAAUUAGUAUUUGACUUUUUAGAAUUAAUUUACUCUUUAAAAUUUUAUUUCUAAUGGCAUACCUAUGUAAUUACUUACAAAAAAUAAAGUUAUAUUUAAAAUGUACUUCCCAAAUAAUAUAAUAGGAUAAACCUCACUCACUCACAUUUGUAUAA